UCGGCCACUCGGGAAAGAGACCCUAAAGCCACUAUUUGGAUAAGGAAUACAAAAGGACCUCAUUUUAAAUUAUAAACUCUACUAAAUUAUCAGUAUAUAGUUUGCAUUGCGUGGGUAUACAACUAUAUGUUAUACCGCCCACCCAAUAGACAAAUAUCAAAGUCUUAAUCAUCUAUAUGGAAUAAAUGGAUAAGAAUCCACGAGACAUGGAGCCUAUUUGGUUCAGCUUUUUUCUGACCAGCUUUUCCGAGAAUCUAGCUGUGGGGAGAAUCUGGCUGUGUAGAGAAUCUGAGUAUCAUUAGAAUUACGUGCGGAGAAAGAUAAAGUUGUUAAUGGGGCUCAGGAUCUAUAAAGUGACGGAUUGCUACUAUUGCGACGACUCAACCGAUUAUAUGUUUAUGUUGAUUUUGAAUGGUUUUUACCCAAACGAAUUUUAUAGAAGCUGGCUGAAAAGCUAAGUGUUUGGCAGUCCGCAGCAGCUUUUGAUGUCCACAAGCUGCGAAAAGCUGAAACAAACAGGGGCAUGAUGCAGUGGUUUCGGCCUCCCCCACACCCGCAUUUUUUUCUUCUGUUAUUCUUUUCUUUCUAGGGUGCGCUGGAUAUGCUAGAGGCACAAUCUUCAGACUUACCUUUUCCCUGAGAAAUCUUUCUGGUGAUAUAGUAGUAGUUGGCAUGGGUUCUUAUUAUUAGCGUUGCUGGAUUUUUUUCUUCCAGCACCUUAUGUCUUAACAACUGCCCCAUAGUUCAACAUUAUUCCAUAUCAUUUUGCCCUUCCUCGGCAAGUAAUUUAAAGUGUUGUUGAGUGGACCUCAAUGCAAUGCAUAUGCUUGCGGUUCAUGUCAGAUACCAAUUCUAGACAGGUAGAGGUAGUUUAGUUCCAAACAAUAACACUGCUACUCAAG
rnacentral:lncRNA from 1 species